rnacentral:rRNA from 1 species
AACGUAGGAGACAAGCGUUAUCCGAAUUUACUGGGCGUAAAGCGCGUGCAGGUGGCUAGGUAAGUUGAAUGUGAAAUCUCCUGGCUCAACUGGGAGAGGCUGUUCAAGACUGCCUGGCUAGAGGGCGGUAGAGGGAGGUGGAAUUCCCGGUGUAGUGGUGAAAUGCGUAGAUAUCGGGAGGAACACCUGUGGCGAAAGCGGCCUCCUGGACCGUACCUGACGCUCAGACGCGAAAGCUAGGGGAGUGAAC